UAGACCGAUAGCGAACAAGUAGAGUGAUCGAAAGAUGAAAAGCACUUUGAAAAGAGAGUUAAAAAGCACGUGAAAUUGUUGAAAGGGAAGCGCUUGCGACCAGACUCGCCUACGGGGUUCAGCCGGUAUUCGUACCGGUGUACUUCCCCGUGGGCGGGCCAGCGUCGGUUUGGGCGGCCGGUCAAAGGCCCUCGGAAUGUAACGCCUCUCGGGGCGUCUUAUAGCCGAGGGUGCCAUGCGGCCAGCCCGGACCGAGGAACGCGCUUCGGCACGGACGCUGGCAUAAUGGUCGUAAGCGACCCGUCUUGAAACACKGACCAAG
rnacentral:rRNA from 1 species